AAUAAACGAAUUUCUGUGUUUUUAUAGAAUUUUUAACUCUCCAUCUUAUUUAAAAAAUAUUUAUGAUUAAUAUUUUUAUUGUUACUAUAUGAUAAAGCAUGAAUAGUACUUUACGUGCGAACUAAUUUUUUUCAAUUUUUAAUAAAUUUUUUAAAUAAGACGGAUGGUCAAGCAUUCGAGCUAAAAAACCAGAAAUACUUUUUUU
rnacentral:pre_miRNA from 1 species